CCUACGGGAGGCAGCAGUGAGGAAUAUUGGUCAAUGGACGAGAGUCUGAACCAGCCAAGUAGCGUGAAGGAUGACUGCUCUAUGGGUUGUAAACUUCUUUUAUAUGGGAAUAAAAUGUUCCACGUGUGGGAUUUUGUAUGUACCAUAUGCAUAAGGAUCGGCUAACUCCGGGCAAGCAGCCGCGGUAAUACGGAGGAUCCGAGCGUUAUCCGGAUUUAUUGGGUUUAAAGGGAGCGUAGGUGGAUUGUUAAGUCAGUUGUGAAAGUUUGCGGCUGAACCGUAAAAUGGCAGUUGACACUGGCAGUCGUGAGUACAGUAGAGGGGGGCGGAAUUCGUGGUGUAGCGGUGAAAGGCUUAGAUAUCACGAAGAACUCCGAGUGCGAAGGCAGUUCACUGGACUGCAACGGACACUGAGGCUCGAAAGUGUGGGUAUCGAACAGGAUUAGAUACCCGAGUAGUC
rnacentral:rRNA from 1 species